UACGAAGGGGGCUAGCGUUGUUCGGAAUUACUGGGCGUAAAGGGCGCGUAGGCGGUUUGUUAAGUCAGGCGUGAAAGCCCUGGGCUCAACCUGGGAUGUGCGUUUGAUACUGGCAAGCUUGAGUGCAGGAGAGGAUGGUGGAAUUCCCAGUGUAGAGGUGAAAUUCGUAGAUAUUGGGAAGAACACCGGUGGCGAAGGCGGCCAUCUGGACUGCAACUGACGCUGAGGCGCGAAAGCGUGGGGAGCAAACAGG
rnacentral:rRNA from 1 species